UACGAAGGGUGCAAGCGUUAAUCGGAAUUACUGGGCGUAAAGGGUGCGUAGGCGGUUGUUUAAGUCUGUCGUGAAAUCCCCGGGCUCAACCUGGGAAUGGCGAUGGAUACUGGGCAGCUAGAGUGUGUCAGAGGAUGGUGGAAUUCCCGGUGUAGCGGUGAAAUGCGUAGAGAUCGGGAGGAACAUCAGUGGCGAAGGCGGCCAUCUGGGACAACACUGACGCUGGAGCACGAAAGCGUGGGGAGCAAACAGG
rnacentral:rRNA from 1 species